AGUGAACGCUGGCGGUAGGCCUAACACAUGCAAGUCGAACGGCAGCACAGUAAGUGCUUGCUCUUACGGGUGUCGAGUGGCGGACGGUUCCGUAAUACAUCGGAUUCUACUUUUUCGUGGGUGCUAACGCAGGGUAACUUACUCUAAUCCCGCAUACGUCCUACUUGUGAAAGCACGGGAUCUUCGGACCUUGCGCGAUUGUAUGAGCCGAUGUCGGAUUAGCUCGUUGGCGGGGUAAAGGCACACCAAGGCGACGAUCCGUAGCUGGUCUGAGAGGAUGAUCAGACACACUGGAACUGAGACACGGUCCAGACUCCUACGGGAGGCAGCAGUGGGGAAUAUUGGACAAUGGGCGAAAGCCUGAUCCAGCCAUACCGCGUGGGUGAAGAAGGCCUUCGGGUUGUAAAGCCCUUUUGGUGGGAAAGAAGAGCAGCAGGUUAAUACCCCGCUGUUAUGACGGUACCCAAAGAAUAAGCACCGGCUAACUUCGUG
rnacentral:rRNA from 1 species